CUUCUGGAAGCUGGUUUCACAUGGUGGCUUAGAUUUUUCGAUCUUUGUAUCUAGCACCAUUUGAAAUCAGUGUUUUAGGAG
ensembl:miRNA